AAGACUAUACUUUCAGGGAUCAUUUCUAUAGUUCCUGACUAGAGAAAUGUGUUUCUAAAGUGUUUGGUCUCGCUAGCCACGAUGAAGAGUUGUGAUGUUCCCUUCUGAGAGAGAAGCUGGUAGUGAGUAAUGACUCUGUUCAUAUAUUCACUGACAUUGAUGACUGAUCUCUGCCUUUUUUAUAGUGCUUUGAAGAGGGGAACAUGAUCAGAGUGGU
rnacentral:snoRNA from 1 species